rnacentral:rRNA from 1 species
UUAAGCAUAUCANUAAGCGGAGGAAANGAAACCAACAGGGAUUGCCUCAGUAACGGCGAGUGAAGCGGCAAAAGCUCAAAUUUGAAAUCUGGCUCUUNCGGGGUCCGAGUUGUAAUUNGCAGAGAGUGUUUCGGGCGAGGCCGCGGUUUAAGUCCAUUGGAACAUGGUGUCAUAGAGGGUGAGAAUCCCGUAUGCGACCGUGGUCCGAGCCCAUGUGAAGCCUCUUCGACGAGUCGAGUUGUUUGGGAAUGCAGCUCUAAAUGGGUGGUAAAUUUCAUCUAAAGCUAAAUACUGGCUGGAGACCGAUAGCGCACAAGUAGAGUGAUCGAAAGAUGAAAAGCACUUUGAAAAGAGAGUUAAAAAGUACGUGAAAUUGUUGAAAGGGAAGCGCUUGCGACCAGACCUGCCCGUAGGUGAUCAGCCUCUGUUCUCAGGGGUGCACUCGCUCUACGAUCAGGCCAGCAUCGGUUUGGGCGGUCGGAUAAAGGCCUUGGGAAUGUAGCUUCCUUUCGGGGGAGUCUUAUAGCCCUCAGUGCAAUGCGGCCAGCCGGGACCGAGGACCGCGCUUCGGCUAGGAUGCUGGCGUAAUGGUUGCAAGCGACCCGUCUUGAAACACGGACCAAGGAGUCUAACAUCUAUGCGAGUGUUUGGGUGUCAAACCCAUACGCGGAAUGAAAGUGAACGGAGGUGAGAACCCUUAAGGGUGCAUCAUCGACCGAUCCAGAUGUCUUCGGAUGGAUUUGAGUAUGAGCAUAGCUGUUGGGACCCGAAAGAUGGUGAACUAUGCCUGAAUAGGGUGAAUGCCAGAGGAAAG